GGAUCAUGAGCUGUAAUAUAUUGCAAGAAUGGAAUGUACUUCUUGAGUUCGUUGAACCGCUUCCGAUCCAAUUUCUUUCUCAUGUUCUGAAAGAAACAAAAAAGAGAUCCAUAUCCACUACAGAAUGAGUAUGGCUGAUUGCUAAAUCAUAUACUACCUUAACAUUAUAUAAGUGUGCUGUGCGCUGUUACACCAGCAAAAUUGGAAAAAAUGUCUACCAGUUUUUUUAAGAGUUACAGAAAACAAGAUGUCGUAUAGUUACAGAUGAAAAGACGUCGAAGCGUGCCAGUGCGAGUACAAGUUUCAAGACGUGUGGGUACAAAAAUAGAGAUUUUUGUUAAAAAAAAAUUAAACAUGUUGUUCGUUUAAUUCUUUUUAAACAAAAAUCUCUAUUUUCGAGGAACCCAGUGUCAAAUCAUACAAUUUUUUUCAUGAAACAAAAAUCAAUUAUGAACAGAGAGCGCAACAAGCUGUCAAAUUCCACGACCCCUUAUUUUUGUCUUUCAACAUAUUCGUUCGAACCAUUACUUUUG